ACGGAAGGCAGCAGUGGGGAAUAUUGGGCAAUGGGCGCAAGCCUGACCCAGCAAUGCCGCGUGAAGGAAGAAGGCUUUCGGGUUGUAAACUUCUUUUAAGUGGGACGAUAAUGACUGUACCACAUGAAUAAGCUCCGGCUAACUACGUGCCAGCAGCCGCGGUAAUACGUAGGGAGCAAGCGUUAUCCGGAUUUACUGGGUGUAAAGGGCGUGUAGGCGGGACAGCAAGUCAGAUGUGAAAGCACGAGGCUCAACUUCGUGUCUGCAUUUGAAACUGCUGUUCUUGAGUGCUGGAGAGGCUAGCGGAAUUCCUAGUGUAGCGGUGAAAUGCGUAGAUAUUAGGAAGAACACCAGUGGCGAAGGCGGUUAGCUGGACAGUAACUGACGCUGAGGCGCGAAAGCGUGGGUAGCAAACAGGAUUAGAUACCCUGGUA
rnacentral:rRNA from 1 species